rnacentral:rRNA from 1 species
GAUGAACGCUGGCGGCGUGCCUAAUACAUGCAAGUCGAGCGAACAGAUGAGGAGCUUGCUCCUCUGACGUUAGCGGCGGACGGGUGAGUAACACGUGGAUAACCUACCUAUAAGACUGGGAUAACUUCGGGAAACCGGAGCUAAUACCGGAUAAUAUAUUGAACCGCAUGGUUCAAUAGUGAAAGACGGUUUUGCUGUUACUUAUAGAUGGAUCCGCGCCGCAUUAGCUAGUUGGUAAGGUAACGGCUUACCAAGGCAACGAUGUGUAGCCGACCUGAGAGGGUGAUCGGCCACACUGGAACUGAGACACGGUCCAGACUCCUACGGGAGGCAGCAGUAGGGAAUCUUCCGCAAUGGGCGAAAGCCUGACGGAGCAACGCCGCGUGAGUGAUGAAGGUCUUCGGAUCGUAAAACUCUGUUAUUAGGGAAGAACAAAUGUGUAAGUAACUAUGCACGUCUUGACAGUACCUAAUCAGAAAGCCACGGCUAACUACGUG